UUCUUGGUUAGUGUGUAGCAGUUCACAUCUUCAGUCUCAAGAUGAUGGACAAACUGUCUGUUCUGCUGACAGUGCUCUGUCUGCCCUGUUUGAAUGGCCAGGCUCUGGAGUCCAUUCCCUCCACGUCAGUGGUGAAAAAACCUGGAGAAGCCCUCAGUCUCUCCUGCAGGGGAACUGGAUUUACUUUCAGUCAGCAUGGAAUGCACUGGAUCAGACAACCUGCAGGGAAAGCACUGGAAUGGAUUGGGACUAUUUGGAGUGAUGCAAGUAAAACAAGUUAUGUCAGCAGUGUGCAAGGACGUAUAGAAAUCACCAGAGAUAAUAGCAACAGCAUGGUGUAUCUGAGACUGUCCAACCUAAAGCCUGAGGACUCUGCUGUGUAUUACUGUGCCAGCCACACACACUGAUACAAGUAAGCAGAGAGGCUUUACAAAAACCUAAAACGUCUGAUGUUUACAAUCACCAGCAGGGGGCAGCAAGAGAUUAUCGAAAAUGUCAUGUCAAACCAACAUCAUACCUCCACAUACCGAGAAAAAAAAAUAAAAUAAAAUAAAACACUGUGAA